rnacentral:rRNA from 1 species
UACGUAGGGUGCAAGCGUUGUCCGGAAUUAUUGGGCGUAAAGAGCUCGUAGGCGGUUUGUCGCGUCUGCUGUGAAAACCCGAGGCUCAACCUCGGGCCUGCAGUGGGUACGGGCAGACUAGAGUGCGGUAGGGGAGAUUGGAACUCCUGGUGUAGCGGUGGAAUGCGCAGAUAUCAGGAAGAACACCGAUGGCGAAGGCAGAUCUCUGGGCCGUAACUGACGCUGAGGAGCGAAAGCAUGGGGGAGCGAACAGG